UAAAGGGGGCCUCCAGGAAAUCUGGAGAGGGACUUUUUACAAGGGCAUGCAGUGACAGGACAAGGGGGAAUGGCUUUAAUUUGAAAGAGGGUAGAUUUAGAUCAGACAUUAGGAAGAAAUUCUUCCCUAUGAGGGUGCUGAGGCACUGGCACAGAUUGCCCAGAGAAGCUGUGGCUGCCCCAUCCCUGGCAGUAUUCAAGGCCAGGUUGGACAAGGCUUGGAGCAACCUGCUCUGGUGGAAGGUGUCCCUCCCAACCCAAACCAGUCUGGGAUUCUGUGAUU